ensembl:lncRNA
UUACAGCAGCCUUCCAGUACCUAAAGGGAACUUAUAAAAAAAGAGGGAGAGAAAUGUUUUACAUGGGCACAUGCUAAUAGGAUAAGGGGUAAUGGUUUUAAAUUGAAGGAUGGUCAAUUUAGAUUAGAUGUAAGGAAGAUGUUUUUUAUAAUGAGAGUGACAAAAUACUGAGAGAGACUGGCCAGAGAUUCUCCAUCCACAGAAAUAUUAAUGAAUCAGCUUGCAGGUGGGUUGGACUUGAUGAUUUUUAAAAGUUCCAUUCCAACUCAAAGUAUUAUAUGAUUAUGUGAUUAUGGGCUUGCCUUCGCUGGGAUCUUACCUCACACAGUGUGAUGAGAUGGCUCUUGCUGCUGAUACCUUUGCUUUGGUCAGCUUUGUCACCAUGCUUGGCUUGCAUCUUCCUCUUCCUCAUGGAACAGCUCCCUCUUGCUCCUUCCUGACAUAGUAGGACUAGAGACCAUCAUAGUGCAUCCAGAUAGGAUGCAAUUAUGGCAGCACUUCCCUCCAAAUCCCUGUGAGUGAGGCUGACAGCACAGUUUGCAUCCUCUGAGGGCAGCUCGUUGAAAAUGCUAUUUUCAAGCCUGGAAAGUAGAGGAAGAAAAAUCAGAGACCCUGUGCUUUGAAAAAUUUUGCAAAGACAAAAGAAAAAGCUACUUGUGGCUUGCUCAGGCAUUCCUUGGUUUUUCCUUGCUGUCUUCAAUUAGUGGGUGAUCUGUCAGCAACUUUUCAAAACUGAAUUUGGAAGUCUUUGUCAGGAUGUUCUGUAAACCAAAAAUUAAGUAUCUUAAAAAAAACCCUUACAAAAAUAAAAGAUAUAUCCAUAGGUCCACCUCAGAAAAAUCAGAAGGAUAAUUCUGCACUUGUGUAGCUUCUUAAAUGAUUUUCCCGCCCAGUCAUCAGAAGUUACUUGCUGCUUUAGGUAUGCAGGCACUGUGUAAAACUUUGGUACCUGCUUGUCCACAGAAUGUUUGGAAGACAGUGUGGCCCACUUCACCCUGCCAAGAAACCUGUAACUUCUGGUCACCAGAGCUCUUUGUGUUCAUUCCUUUCCUCCAUAUGGUCUGUGAAGAGGGACUGGAGAAGAGGAGGGAUCAGAAAUUAAAGGUUCACAAGAAAAGAAUGUAUUAUUUGAGGAGAAAACACUUCAUUGAACCUGAUGUUUCCCUGUUAGAGGUGGGGCUUUCUAAGCAGUUGCUGUUUUUUCAUAGAAGAAAUUCCAAGAAUUUAAGGCUCUGAAAGUAAUUUUCAUAGAGCCUCAUUAUUUGCUGUGUCCCUUGAAACCCUGUCUCCUCAAUUCACGUGAGUAUGUACAGAAGGGCAAACUCAUUCAGAAGCAAAAUUCUGUAAUAGGCAUGUGUGGGAGGAAGCAGAUAAUUUUCACUGAUC